rnacentral:rRNA from 1 species
UACGAAGGGGGCUAGCGUUGCUCGGAAUCACUGGGCGUAAAGCGCACGUAGGCGGCUUUUUAAGUCAGGGGUGAAAUCCUGGAGCUCAACUCCAGAACUGCCUUUGAUACUGAGAAGCUUGAGUCCGGGAGAGGUGAGUGGGACUGCGAGUGUAGAGGUGAAAUUCGUAGAUAUUCGCAAGAACACCAGUGGCGAAGGCGGCUCACUGGCCCGGUACUGACGCUGAGAUGCGAAAGCGUGGGGAGCAAACAGG